CGGAUGUAAUUCAUUGGUAGAAUGCCAGCCUUCCAAGCUGGAUAGGGGGGUUCGAUUCCCCUCAUCCG
rnacentral:tRNA from 1 species